rnacentral:rRNA from 1 species
AGGAUGAACGCUGGCGGCGUGCCUAAUACAUGCAAGUCGAGCGAACAGACGAGGAGCUUGCUCCUUUGACGUUAGCGGCGGACGGGUGAGUAACACGUGGGUAACCUACCUAUAAGACUGGGAUAACUUCGGGAAACCGGAGCUAAUACCGGAUAAUAUUUCGAACCGCAUGCUUCGAUAGUGAAAGAUGGCUCUGCUAUCACUUAUAGAUGGACCUGCGCCGUAUUAGCUAGUUGGUAAGGUAACGGCUUACCAAGGCAACGAUACGUAGCCGACCUGAGAGGGUGAUCGGCCACACUGGAACUGAGACACAGCAAACACUAAUACGGGAGGCAGCAGUAGGGAAUCUUCCGCAAUGGGCGAAAGCCUGACGGAGCAACGCCGCGUGAGUGAUGAAGGUCUUCGGAUCGUAAAACUCUGUUAUUAGGGAAGAACAAACGUGUAAGUAACUGUGCACGUCUUGACGGUACCUAAUCAGAAAGCCACGGCUAACUACGUGCCAGCAGCCGCGGUAAUACGUAGGUGGCAAGCGUUAUCCGGAAUUAUUGGGCGUAAAGCGCGCGUAGGCGGUUUUUUAAGUCUGAUGUGAAAGCCCACGGCUCAACCGUGGAGGGUCAUUGGAAACUGGAAAACUUGAGUGCAGAAGAGGAAAGUGGAAUUCCAUGUGUAGCGGUGAAAUGCGCAGAGAUAUGGAGGAACACCAGUGGCGAAGGCGACUUUCUGGUCUGUAACUGACGCUGAUGUGCGAAAGCGUGGGGAUCAAACAGGAUUAGAUACCCUGGUAGUCCACGCCGUAAACGAUGAGUGCUAAGUGUUAGGGGGUUUCCGCCCCUUAGUGCUGCAG